rnacentral:misc_RNA from 1 species
UUCAAUACAGCUCCAGGUUUACAUGGUUUGCCACUGCUAUUCAAAAUAGGGUAAACUCCCUCCACUCUAUCCCCUGAAUAUAUUUGUUCAACCGGAAUGGCAACAACUCCUAUCAAUUGUGAACCCACAAAAUCACUGUCUUUAACUAAAAAGUGCACUUCAGCUGCAUAAUGUGCAACGGGAACAUAAAAAUGUUGCAUCCAAACAGGAUCUUCGCUAUUGCUAAUCACAAAAGUUCUCCCAAUUACAG